ACAUGCGCAAUCGGUAGAAACUCAAAGAAGAGCGAAGUGCUGGGUGUGCAUCUAAAAGAAAAGCUCUACUUCAAGUCCUUAGACCCUCCGUAUUAAACCUAGCUCUCCUAAAAUCCCUCCCAAAACCAUAAAGUCUCUCCAAUCAUGAGUGGAAGAUACAGGAGACGGAGCAGGAGCUACAGUCGUAGUAGGAGUCGCAGCCGAAGCCGUGAUAGAGGUCGUGACAGAGGCACAGGCCGUGACAAUUCUGAUAAUCGUGACAGUCGUCUUAGCAACCGUCGCCCUCCCAACAUUGAAGGGAUGGUCAGCUUGAAGGUGGACAACCUGUCGUACAAAAUCACUGCGGAGGAUUUGCUUCCUAUGUUUGAGAAAUUCGGAGAAGUUGGAGACAUUUAUAUCCCUCGAGAUCGCUACACAAAAGAUUCCAGAGGAUUCGCAUUUGUUAGAUUCGUUGAACGUCGUGAUGCUGAAGAUGCGAUGGACAGAAUGGAUGGGCAUGUGCUAGAAGGACGUGAAAUGAGAGUGCAGACAGCUCGCUAUGGUCGACCUGCUGAGCCCCCCCAGGUCCGCUAUGGGCGUGCGUACGUUCCUAAGGGGAGGUCUCGGUCUCGAAGCCGCUCCCCCAGAAGACGUAAGAAAUCCUAUAGCCCAGACAGGAAAAGAAGGUCUUACUCGAAGGAUUCUUCUAAGUCCCGUUCACGUUCUCCAGAGAGGAAGAGGUCCUUUUCCAAAGAUAAAAGAUCUUGUUCCCCUGACGGGAGGUCCCCUCCCAGAGACAAGAAAUCUCGAUCUCGAUCUCCUGAUUCUCGAAGUCCCUAGUUUCUCUGAGGACGCUAUGCUCAACUGUUUAUGCUGUUGCUGUUAAUUUCUAUUUGGCAGCUGGUAUGCAGUACAAUGCAGUAAUACGAUUGUGUGUUCCAUGUUAAAUCUGGUGGUUCCAGCAGCAGCUGUGUGGUGUAAAUGGUGUAUGGAGACGGCACUGUUCCCGAGGCUACCGUGAUAUCUAUUUGCGGACACUAAAUUUCUGCAUUUAAUUGUGUGUGUGUGUGCGCGUGUGUGGUUCUGGCAUUUGGCUUUAAUUUUAUUGCAUUUUGUCGUUGUGCUUGUAAUGUUUGUUGUCGUGUGUUACAUCGUCCAGUCAGAUUCCUGUUGAUGUUAGAUAAAAUAAAUAUGGACUGUUGA